rnacentral:rRNA from 1 species
UACGAAGGGGGCUAGCGUUGCUCGGAAUCACUGGGCGUAAAGCGCACGUAGGCGGCUUCUUAAGUCAGGGGUGAAAUCCUGGAGCUCAACUCCAGAACUGCCUUUGAUACUGGGAAGCUCGAGUUCGGGAGAGGUGAGUGGAACUCCGAGUGUAGAGGUGAAAUUCGUAGAUAUUCGGAAGAACACCAGUGGCGAAGGCGGCUCACUGGCCCGAUACUGACGCUGAGGUGCGAAAGCGUGGGGAGCAAACAGG